UACGUAGGCAGCGAGCGUUGUUCGGAGUUACUGGGCGUAAAGAGUGCGUAGGCGGUUUUCUAAGUUUGGUGUGAAAUCUCCCGGCUCAACUGGGAGGGUGCGCCGAAGACUGGAAGGCUUGAGUAUGGGAGAGGUAAGCGGAAUUCCUGGUGUAGCGGUGAAAAUGCGUAGAUAUCAGGAGGAACACCUGCGGUGUAGACGGCUUACUGGACCAUAACUGACGCUGAGGCACGAAAGCGUGGGUAGCAAACAGG
rnacentral:rRNA from 1 species